GUGCCAGCAGCCGCGGUAAUACGUAGGUGGCGAGCGUUGUCCGGAAUUACUGGGCGUAAAGGGCGUGUAGGCGGCUUUUCAAGUCAGAUGUGAAAUCUCAGGGCUUAACCCUGAAACUGCAUUUGAAACUGGAGGGCUUGAGGACCGGAGAGGGCAGUGGAAUUCCCAGUGUAGCGGUGAAAUGCGUAGAUAUUGGGAAGAACACCAGUGGCGAAGGCGACUGCCUGGACGGCUCCUGACGCUGAGGCGCGAAAGCUAGGGGAGCGAACGGGAUUAGAUACCCCGGUAGUCCUAGCCGUAAACGAUGGGUACUAGGUGUGGGAGGUAUCGACCCCUUCCGUGCCGCAGUUAACACAAUAAGUACCCCGCCUGGGGAGUACGGCCGCAAGGUUGAAACUCAAAUAAAUUGACGG
rnacentral:rRNA from 1 species